ensembl:lncRNA
AUAAGAUCAAGAAGCUCAUCUUCAUCAUCACCAUCAAGGGCGUCUUGCAAAGCAGUGGACAAGAGAUCGCGCUCAGACUGACUAAGAUACAACAUUAGUGAGUCAAACAAUAAAUCAGGUGAGACAGUGUGUUCACCAAAUGUGAUUGCUGCUGUAAAGGCUUGAGCCAGCCGAGAAGGAAAAUAUCCAUGGUCCUUUAAUCCCUUGACCAUUAUCCUACCAACAGAUUUCCAUUCUUCCUCUUGCCAUUUUGGGGAUAGUGAUGGCACCCUCACAUCUGCACCCUCUGCUGCACAGUCUAAAAACUCUGUCCAGAAGGCAGCAUAUACAUCCCUGGACACGCCAUCAGCAUCUGCCCCCAUUUCAUGAAUGAAGCUGUAUUUCACAGAGUAGGACAUCAUCGCUUCAUCCUUGAAUUGGAAAUGCCUUGUAGCAAUCCUAUCACCAUAUGCUGGAAUGUAAGCAGUCAUAGUGGCAUCAUCUAUUUCUCCAAUUACCGAGCUGUCAAUCUGUAAUGAAAACAAAACAAUACAGAAUCCCUCGGCUCUGAAGAAACAUCCACAGACCGUCAUCUUGUGGGAGGGGGGUAUUUGAAGACGUAGCCAUAGCUGGCCCUGAACAAAUGUCGGAAAAAGGCAGUAUUUAUGUAAAUAUGUGUUGCACCACAAAUAUAAACAGAUUUAGGACUGUACCCUCAAAAGUGUAAUUGCUUAAAGUAUCUCAAAAAUGUAUUUCUCCAUUUUUUACGAGAACAUUAAUAAAG